CUUGGUCAUUUAGAGGAAGUAAAAGUCGUAACAAGGUUUCCGUAGGUGAACCUGCGGAAGGAUCAUUACCGAGUUCAUGCCCUCACGGGUAGAUCUCCCACCCUCUGUAUACCAUACCUUUGUUGCUUUGGCGGGCCGCCUAGCUACUGGCUUCGGCUGGUAAGUGCCCGCCAGAGGACCCAAAACCCUGAAUAUUAGUGUCGUCUGAGUAAAAUUUUAAUAUUUAAAACUUUCAACAACGGAUCUCUUGGCUCUGGCAUCGAUGAAGAACGCARCGAAAUGCGAUAAGUAAUGUGAAUUGCAGAAUUCAGYGAAUCAUCGAAUCUUUGAACGCACAUUGCGCCCCUUGGUAUUCCGAGGGGCAUGCCUAUUCGAGCGUCAUUAUCACCCCUCAAGCUUCGGCUUGGUGUUGAGGCCUGCUGUAAAGGCACCCUCUAAAAUCAGUGGCAGUGMUGUCAGGCUCUAAGCGUAGUAAUUUCAUCGCUAUAGGGUCCUGGUGGAUACUCGUCAAAACCCCCCCAUUUUUUAAUGAUUGACCUCGGAUUAGGUAGGGAUACCCGCUGAACUUAAGCAUAUCAAUAAGCGGAGGAAAAGAAACCAACAGGGAUUSCCUCAGUAACGGCGAGUGAAGCGGCAAAAGCUCAAAUUUGAAAUCUGGCUCUUUUAGGGUCCGAGUUGUAAUUUGUAGAAGAUGUUUCGGGUGUGGCUCCGGUUUAAGUUCUUCGGAAUAUUACAUCAUAGAGGGUGAGAAUCCCSUAUGUGACCGGCAGCCUUCGCCUAUGUGAAACUCUUUCGACGAGUCGAGUUGUUUGGGAAU
rnacentral:sRNA from 1 species